GGCCAGACUCCUACGGGAGGCAGCAGUGGGGAAUAUUGCACAAUGGGGGAAACCCCGAUGCAGCGACGCCGCGUGAGUGAAGAAGUAUUUCGGUAUGUAAAGCUCUAUCAGCAGGAAAGAAAAUGACGGUACCUGACUAAGAAGCCCCGGCUAACUACGUGCCAGCAGCCGCGGUAAUACGUAGGGGGCAAGCGUUAUCCGGAUUUACUGGGUGUAAAGGGAGCGUAGACGGUGAAGCAAGUCCGAAGUGAAAGGCGGGGGCUCAACCCCCGGACUGCUUUGGAAACUGGUUGACUGGAGUGCAGGAGAGGUAAGUGGAAUUCCUAGGGGAGCGGUGAAAUGCGUAGAUAUUAGGAGGAACACCAGUGGCGAAGGCGGCUUACUGGACUGUAACUGACGUUGAGGCUCGAAAGCGUGGGGAGCAAACAGGAUUAGAUACCCCAGUAC
rnacentral:rRNA from 1 species